UACGGAGGGUGCAAGCGUUAUCCGGAUUUACUGGUUUAAAGGGUGCGCAGGCGGAUAUGUAAGUCAGUGGUGAAAUCUCCGGGCUUAACCCGGAACUGCCGUUGAUACUAUAUAUCUUGAAUGCUGUGGAGGUAAGCAGAAUAUGUCAUGUAGCGGUGAAAUGCUUAGAUAUGACAUAGAAUACCUAUUGCGAAGGCAGCUUACUACGCAGAUAUUGACGCUCAUGCACGAAAGCGUGGG
rnacentral:rRNA from 1 species